CCUACGGGUGGCAGCAGUGGGGAAUAUUGCACAAUGGGGGAAACCCUGAUGCAGCGACGCCGCGUGAGUGAAGACGUAAUUCGUUAUGUAAAGCUCUAUCAGCAGGGAAGAAAACGACGGUACCUGAGUAUGACGCCCCGGCUAACUACGUGCCAGAAGCCGCGGUAAUACGUAGGGGGCAAGCGUGAUCCGGAUUUACUGGGUGUAAAGGGAGUGUAGACGGCAGUGCAAGUCUGGAGUGAAUGGCGGGGGCUCAACCCCCGGACUGCUCUGGAAACUGUACGGCUGGAGUGGAGGAGAGGUAAGUGGAAUGCCUAGUGUAGCGGUGAAAUGCGUAGAGAUUA
rnacentral:rRNA from 1 species